rnacentral:rRNA from 1 species
AUACGUAGGGGGCGAGCGUUAUCCGGGAAUUAUUGGGCAUAAAGAGUGCGUAGGUGGUUUUGUAAGCGCGAGGUGAAAGGCUAUGGCUCAACCAUAGUAAGCCUUGUGAACUGUGAGACUUGAGUGCAGGAGAGGAAAGUGGAAUUCCUAGUGUAGCGGUGAAAUGCGUAGAUAUUAGGAGGAACACCAGUGGCGAAGGCGACUUUCUGGACUGUAACUGACACUGAGGCACGAAAGCGUGGGGAGC